AUUAGAGUUUGAUUAUGGCUCAGGAUGAACGCUGGCGGCAUGCCUAAUACAUGCAAGUCGAACGAGAGACCUUCGGGUCUCUAGUGGCGAACGGGUGAGUAACACGUAGGGAACCUGCCCGCGCACCGGGAAUACGCUCUGGAAACGGAGAACAAAUCCCGAUGUACAGGAAGGAGGCAUCUUCUUUCUGUGAAACAUCCUUUAGGGGAUGGGGCGCGGAUGGACCUGCGGUGCAUUAGUUGGUUGGCGGGGUAAAGGCCCACCAAGACGAUGAUGCAUAGCCGGCCUGAGAGGGCGGACGGCCACAUUGGGACUGAGACACGGCCCAGACUCCUGCGGGAGGCAGCAGUAGGGAAAUUUCGUCAAUGGGCGCAAGCCUGAACGAGCGAUGCCGCGUGAGUGAAGAAGGCCUUCGGGUCGUAAAGCUCUGUUGCGGGGGAAAAAAGGCAGCAUCAGGAAAUGGGUGCUGACUGAUGGUGCCCCGCCAGAAAGUCACGGCUAACUACGUGCCAGCAGCCGCGGUAAUACGUAGGUGGCGAGCGUUAUCCGGAAUGAUUGGGCGUAAAGGGUGCGCAGGCGGUCCUGCAAGUCUGGAGUGAAACGCAUGAGCUCAACUCAUGCAUGGCUUUGGAAACUGGAGGACUGGAGAGCAGGAGAGGGCGGUGGAACUCCAUGUGUAGCGGUAAAAUGCGUAGAUAUAUGGAAGAACACCAGUGGCGAAGGCGGCCGCCUGGCCUGUUGCUGACGCUG
rnacentral:rRNA from 1 species